AGCGAACGCUGGCGGCAGGCCUAACACAUGCAAGUCGAACGGAUCCUUCGGGAUUAGUGGCGGACGGGUGAGUAACACGUGGGAACGUGCCCUUUGGUUCGGAACAACCCAGGGAGACUUGAGCUAAUACCGGAUGUGCCCUUCGGGGGAAAGAUUUAUCGCCAUUGGAGCGGCCCGCGUCUGAUUAGCUAGUUGGUGAGGUAACGGCCCACCAAGGCGACGAUCAGUAGCUGGUCUGAGAGGAUGAUCAGCCACACUGGGACUGAGACACGGCCCAGACUCCUACGGGAGGCAGCAGUGGGGAAUCUUGCGCAAUGGGCGAAAGCCUGACGCAGCCAUGCCGCGUGAAUGAUGAAGGUCUUAGGAUUGUAAAAUUCUUUCAGCGGGGACGAUAAUGACGGUACCCGCAGAAGAAGCUCCGGCUAACUUCGUG
rnacentral:rRNA from 1 species